UGUAGGUGGAGCUGGAGAGCACAGCUCCUCAGGAGCAGCAGGUCACAUGUUACUAGUGCUGGCUGGGAGAAGCACUUUCUUCUUCCGUCCCGUCCACAACACAGUCACAGACAGCUGAGGGGAAUGUGGACCCUGUGAUUGAGUACUCUCCAAAAUGUGUUCUGGUGGCUGAGGCAACACAGUAGAAAUACGACGUGGGGGUGUGCUUAAUGCUGGUGUUGGUGCGUCGUCAGGAUGACGUCUCUUGCUAGGCCUGCUCGUGUGGCUGCCAGACCCCUGUGAAGGACGUCUUUGUGGACUGUGAUGCGAUGUUGAAGUUCCUAUGGAUUAUUGCAAACAUUAGACUUUUUUUUUUUUUUUGUGGUGGACACAUUAACAGGUGUCGUUUUUGCGUUACCUGUAUCGCCAGCAUCCACAGCUCUUGACAGUGUUGCUUGUGUUCUGGAAGUGGAGGCUUGCUUUCGUACUGUAAAAAUGAUACAUUGGUGUUUAUGACCUUUAAUUACAGUGUGUACUUUUGUAAGCAGCAACAUUUAGUGAUGUGGACAUAUGUUUAACAUUAUGGGUACAGUUUCUAACAAUAAAUGUUGAAACAAUG